AUUGAACGCUGGCGGCAGGCCUAACACAUGCAAGUCGAGCGGAUGAGUGGAGCUUGCUCCAUGAUUCAGCGGCGGACGGGUGAGUAAUGCCUAGGAAUCUGCCUGGUAGUGGGGGACAACGUUUCGAAAGGAACGCUAAUACCGCAUACGUCCUACGGGAGAAAGUGGGGGAUCUUCGGACCUCACGCUAUCAGAUGAGCCUAGGUCGGAUUAGCUAGUUGGUGAGGUAAAGGCUCACCAAGGCGACGAUCCGUAACUGGUCUGAGAGGAUGAUCAGUCACACUGGAACUGAGACACGGUCCAGAGUCCUACGGGAGGAAGCAGUGGGGAAUAUUGGACAAUGGGCGAAAGCCUGAUCCAGCCAUGCCGCGUGUGUGAAGAAGGUCUUCGGAUUGUAAAGCACUUUAAGUUGGGAGGAAGGGCAGUAAGUUAAUACCUUGCUGUUUUGACGUUACCAACAGAAUAAGCACCGGCUAACUUCGUGCCAGCCGCCGCCGUAAUAC
rnacentral:rRNA from 1 species